rnacentral:rRNA from 1 species
CGCGUAGGCGGUUUGAUUAGUUAGGCGUGAAAUUCCUGGGCUCAACCUGGGGGCUGCGCUUAAUACAGUCAGACUAGAGUGUGAAAGAGGGUCGUGGAAUUCCCAGUGUAGAGGUGAAAUUCGUAGAUAUUGGGAAGAACACCGGUGGCGAAGGCGGCGACCUGGUUCAUUACUGACGCUGAGGCGCGAAAGCGUGGGGAGCAAACA